AUUGAACGCUGGCGGCAGGCCUAACACAUGCAAGUCGAAUGGUAACAGGAAACAGCUUGCUGUUUCGCUGACGAGUGGCGGACGGGUGAGUAAUGUCUGGGAAACUGCCUGAUGGAGGGGGAUAACUACUGGAAACGGUAGCUAAUACCGCAUAACGUCGCAAGACCAAAGAGGGGGACCUUCGGGCCUCUUGCCAUCAGAUGUGCCCAGAUGGGAUUAGCUAGUAGGUGGGGUAACGGCUCACCUAGGCGACGAUCCCUAGCUGGUCUGAGAGGAUGACCAGCCACACUGGAACGGAGACACGGUCCAGACUCCUACGGGAGGCAGCAGUGGGGAAUAUUGCACAAUGGGCGCAAGCCUGAUGCAGCCAUGCCGCGUGUAUGAAGAAGGCCUUCGGGUUGUAAAGUACUUUCAGCGGGGAGGAAGGGAGUAAAGUUAAUACCUUUGCUCAUUGACGUUACCCGCAGAAGAAGCACCGGCUAACUCCGUG
rnacentral:rRNA from 1 species